CUCGCCUCCUUAACGAAACGACAACAGGCAUGAACAAAGAACCCCAAUCAAACCGAGGACUGUUGGGCUACGGCUCGUUUUCCUUUCUACAAGGUACAGCAGCAACAAGAAGAACAAGGAAGAGUGAGCAAACAAGAGAAGAGAAAGCUAGUUUUCAUGGAAGUGGAUCAGCUCAAACCAGGAAUGACUGGUCAUACACUAUCUUGCAGAAGGGCCGCGCUGCCUCUUAGAACCUCCACCAUACCCACAUUUCGUAGUGCCUUUUCGGAGACGACACCGCCACCAUCAUCUUCACCGCUUGCAACGAUCAAGGUUGCAUCUUUUAUGCAGUUAACUUGAUGAAGCCGAGCACUGCUGUAAUUCUUCGUAACACAAAGAUUGACAUGUUUAAGGGAUCUGUGAGGGCUAGUAGCUAUUGACAAAUGGGGCCUCACUGAAGAAGUUACUGAACCUGCUAAAUUCAAAGUUCAAGAGGACAAAAAUCUCUCCUUGUUUGAAUAGGAGCUGGUGAAUGUAAGAGUACUAGUAAUUGCUUAUCUAUCUUCAUUUUUAUUCUUAAAUUUGAAGAAACUUGCAUUAAAAUCAUCUACAUUGGCUUAUCUAGCUCUAUUAUUUUGAAUAACUCUGAACAGUCAUUAUUUAUCUUUGAAGAUGUCAUUUUCCUUCUUCAAACAUUAUUUUUAUUAUUUUUAUUCUCUCUUAUCGGAAGAGCACAUUCCGAGGACCUCGAACUGCUCUUUCUUCCACUUUGGUUUUUCUUUCUCUCCUUUCUUUUCAUUUCUCUCUUCACCGUUGUUUCUCCUUCUUCCCAAAUGGCUCUCAUUGCUCACGGCACGGCCCCACAUCGUUUCUCUCUCUUGUUGCUCCUGGCUGGAUUUCUUCACGGUUGGAGCUGCUCUUCAUGGCUCUGCUCUUCAUGGUUCUCUCUGCUUUGGAUUCAUCACCAACAGAGAUCCAUCAACAACACAACCCAAAAGCCCUAGCUUGCAGACACGAAACCGUGUAUGUAGCUGAAGAGUGAAAUAAAGGCAACUUCCUAGCUCGUCUGCUUUCUUUCCUCACAUCGUCCAAAAUGAAUCACUCCAUUGUCCCGGUUGAUACUUGCGAUGAAGCGUGAAAUGCCAUCACAUAUAUCACAUCCUUGCUAAUUCUCUUCGAGGGAUAGGCCAUUGAUGGCCUAUUGUACUUCUCCAUGCCUUGGUGGCUUGAUUACUCCGAUUUUGGCAUAUGGGUUACUCAAGAAAAUAUCAGAAAUAUUUUGGUUUAUAAAGAAUUUUACAAAAGUAUAUUUAACAAACAGAGGCAGAUUAUUGUGACAUAUUAAAUUGU